CUUUGGACAGCAACUAUGCAAGAAAUACUGUGGAGCAAAUUCUGACCUCAAAGCCAGCAGGAAUGACUGUGAUUAAAGAGUAUGAAGAAACUGGGAGUUUGAAAGAUUCCACCAGGCGAUUAAUGGUGAACAUCAUUGUUGCACACAUGCGUGAAAAAGAAGGGAGUCGUGUUAGUAAAGCAACAAAGGAGUUUCAUGCACUCAUGGAUAUGUAA